ACACUAAGCUCAUGAUUUUCAGAACUGAUUAGUUUGUGAGGAGUGGUUGCAUUUGAUGUAAUGUUAAUUUGAUCCGUAGGGAUAGUUAGAUUCGCGGAAUCUCCAUAUGUUGCAUUGCUGCUGCUCCUUGACGCUUGAGGUUUCUGCGUUUCAGUUAUUCUCAGCAUCCUAAGACCAGCAUUCACUGGUAAUUGCAAUUCCACUAAAGAAAGAAAGAAAGAGAUAAGGUUUAAAGACGGUGCAAAGAGUGAAGACGAAGAGAAGAGAGGCAACGAAAGCUCCAUAGCCAAGUCUCUUCUGCUCGUUUUUGCUAAAGCUACGAGCAAGUAUUGUAUCAUAAAGAAGAUCCUUCUCUGUCAUCUGUCUCUCGAGUUAGACAAACCUUUAUUACUUUCUUCUGCUGCAAGUAAACUCUAGAAGCAGAUAUUACCCGCUAUUGGAGAGAGAUAUGAAUGAUUGUGAGAGAGGAAAUUGUAUGAAGUAUAUAAGAGGAGCUUUUUUUACGACAAUGCUACUCGUGUUCAAUGAUUGUUUCUGUAAAUGUCGGGAUCUUAAGACAGGAUCACGAAGAGAAGUUUUACGUGUUAAAAAUCAAACAUUUUAAAAGUGAUAUAAGUGUAUUAUUAA